rnacentral:rRNA from 1 species
UUAAAUUGAAGAGUUUGAUCAUGGCUCAGAUUGAACGCUGGCGGCAGGCCUAACACAUGCAAGUCGAACGGUAACAGGAAGCAGCUUGCUGCUUCGCUGACGAGUGGCGGACGGGUGAGUAAUGUCUGGGAAACUGCCUGAUGGAGGGGGAUAACUACUGGAAACGGUGGCUAAUACCGCAUAACGUCGCAAGACCAAAGAGGGGGACCUUCGGGCCUCUUGCCAUCAGAUGUGCCCAGAUGGGAUUAGCUAGUUGGUGAGGUAACGGCUCACCAAGGCGACGAUCCCUAGCUGGUCUGAGAGGAUGACCAGCCACACUGGAACUGAGACACGGUCCAGACUCCUACGGGAGGCAGCAGUGGGGAAUAUUGCACAAUGGGCGCAAGCCUGAUGC